rnacentral:tRNA from 1 species
UCCCAGGUGGCUCAGUGGUAAAGCAUCUGCCUGCAAUGCAAGAGCUGCAGGAGACACAGGUUCGAUCCCUGGAUCGGGAA